UAGGACUGGGCCACGGGGACCUGGCUCGGUCCUCCGCUGCCUGGGGGGGGGCCUCCAAACGCUUUCCCCUCCAUGAUGGCGCCAGUGGGCAGGGGCUGGCUCGGCUUGGCAGAGAUCCUGGCUCCUGGCAGCUUCCUGGCUGCGCAUAUACCCCAGCCCCUCUCUCUGCCUUCCUGUCUCAUGCUGCACGCUCUACGAGGAGGGAGGGAGUAGCAGCAGCUGCAAUGCCAGUGAGACAAGGAGUGGAGGAGCGAGCGACCAUGUAGAGAGCUUGGGAAGAAGGGGCCCUCAGGGACAGGCAGGGAGUUUCUAAUUAAGGGAAGCAUAAAACAAAACAAAAUCUCCCACCUGCCAUCUAAAGUGCUACAUUCCAUUCUACGACCUCACCACCACACCAGGCCUGAGUUUGGUCUGGGCCUGUACUAGCUGUAAGCCUUACGAAUGCUGCCUUGUGUUCCAUUGAGGAAAGGUGGGGUAUUCAUUUUAAAAUGGCGCCCCCCUUCAAGUGGCGCCCGGGGCACAUGCCCUUCCUGCCCCACCCUAGAUACGCCCCUGCCUAUGAGGAAAAGUUGAAGAAGCUGGGCAUGUUUAGCCUGAAGAAGAGAAGACUAGCAGGUUACAGUUCAUUUGCUCCUGUUACUGACUUUUGUGCCAUUAAAAGAGCUGUGAAUCUUGGGAGGGAAAAGUUCCUGCAGCUAAAAGAAGACAAGGGUGGAGGGAAGAGGCUGGAAGCCACAGUGACAGGUACAUCGAAGGCUGUAUCCUUUAGUUCCCUGGAAACCAGUCAAACACUAUCUCAUCUUGCAGUGGUUGUGUCUGAUUCUCUGCUUCAGACAUCCUCCUAAUAAUGGUAGCUACAGAGGUGACUCUCUGCAAAUAAGGGCUAGCAGCCACUGGACAUCCAUCAUGUAUCUCCAGAGCAACAUUAGACCACCCUAAUGGGUACUCCCGUCUUCAUUAUGAUAUUAAUUCUCUAAAUUUCCAAAGUGAUUUCAUUUGUAAAAUGACAAUGGCUGGCUGCUCAGGAGACAAACUGUUUUCAUCACACUCCCGCCUGCUUACAAAGGUUCCCUCUCUUUAGUCUUCCGGGCGUGGGGUUGCGGGGGUGGGGGAGAAAUGUGAUAGCAUCAGAUCUCUUGUGAUACACAAGGCUGCCUAACAGCUACGCCACCUGCCAACACGGCAUGCCUAGCUGUAGAGACUGAAGAUGUUUAAAAGUAAUGGCUGGUGAGUGGAACAUCACAUUUUAAAUGGAAAAGAGGGGGAAAUGAGGAAGGAAGGAAGGAAGAAAACAGAAGCUGUAUAUUCAGCACAGAGGUGAAGGAGGAUGAUCAAGUGAGGACUUUUUAAAAAACCAGACCUGGAUACUGUAUUAAUAAACCUGGUUUGCUUGGGCUAGGCAAAAGCACAAUUGUCUCAUCCUGAGUGCAUCAAAGUCUUUGCAGUCCUUACAAAAUUUAGCAAGAACCAAGCAAAGCACAGGUAUGGGCACAAUGAAAGAUUUGCCCAUACUCCCAAAUUUCCUGAGAUCUGCAGAGAAUCAAGCAUAGUAUUAAGAGAGCUUUUGAACUACAUGAGACUUCUGUAUAAAUAACUGCAUAGGAUUUUAAAGCAUCAUUGUGAUAUCCAUCUAGGGCUUGUGAUGUCUGUAUGCUAAUGCACAGAGUAUGGAAACAAACAAGACAACAUAGUACAGGAAAGUAAAUACUUCCUAGGUAUAACUGAGACUCGCAGUAUUGAAUGUAGCAACUGAAGGAUAUAACUUGUUCAGAAACAAUAGGUAUAACAGAAUGGGUGGGGAACUAGCAUAUGUAAAAAAAAUGUGUGCAAUUGCAAAGAAAUCCAAGAGAGUGAACUUGGUAGCCCAGGUACCCAGAGCAUCUGGGUAAAAAAAAAAAAGAAAUCAAUUAAUUAAUUAAUUAAUUAAUUAAUUAAUUAUAGCACUGUCUUUAGUCUCCUAUUCUAGGGGACUAAAACAUUUGCUGAUGCACUCUCAGAAUCGCCAUCUAUCAGUUUUGAGAAAUCCUGGAGAACAGGUGAGUUGCCACAAGACUGGAGGUGAGUUUAUGUUGACUCAGUCUUUUAAAAAGGAUCCAGGAAACCAGCUGCAGGGGAGCAACAGCAGGAGAUAGGGCAUGCCCUCAGCUUUUGCCUGUGGCCUCCCCAGAGGGAUCUGGUGAGCUACUUGGAGAAACAGGAUGCUGGACUAGAUAGGCUGUGGGCCUGAUCCAACAGGGCUGUUCUUAUGUUAUGAUGUUCUUAUGAAACUACAGAGUGUGUCUGACUUGGUACCAGGGAAGAUUAUAAGGCAUUCUGUAAUAAUUUUGACAACAAUGCAGUUAUUAGUAGAUGCCAGCAUGGAUUUCUCAAGGAAAAAUCUUGCCGACUAAUCUUAUUUAUUCUCUCUCUCUCUCUCUCUCUCUCUCUCUCUCUCUCUCUCUGUUACAGGUUUAGUGGAUUUUUGGAAUGCCGUGAACAAAAUUUAUUUUGAUUUCAGCAAAGCAUUUGAAGUUAUGCAUGAUAUUCUAUUUUAUAAACUAGUAAAAUACCAUCAGGUGGUUUCACAACUGGUUGGAAAACCAUAUUCAAAUGGUGCUCAUUUGUGGCUUCUUAUCAUACUGGAGGGAGGUUUUGAAUGGGAUGCCACACAACUUUGUCCUGGGCCAUGUAGCCUUCAAUAUGCUUAUUGAAUCCAUCCAAUUUGCAGAUGACCAUGGGCGUAGUGUCCACUGGACAAGGGGGACAAAUGUCCCCCAGCCUGGAGGGUCAAAGGGCCCACAAGGGGCUCACAAGGCUGCCACCAAGUGCUGCUGGGGUACAUGGUGAUUUCCCCCACGCUUUCUCCUGCUCUUCCUCCUCCCAGUACCUCGCCAGUGCUCUGCCCCCUUGCCUGGGUGCCAUGCAAGAGCCGCCAGAAGAGGGGCUGCCUAGCCCCGAUCUGCUGCCCCUGGACAGAGGCCAGCAUGCCCCAUGUCCCUGUGCCUGGCCCCAAUAUGUGCUGUGGAGCUGCUGCUGCUGCUUCUUCUUCUGCUGCUGCUGCUGCCACCCUCCAAAAAGACUCACAGAACAGUCAGUUCAAGAAUGGAAGAUUUG